GGGCCAGUAGCUCAGGGGUUAGAGCAAUCGGCUCAUAACCGAUCGGUCGCAGGUUCGAUUCCUGCCUGGCCCACCA
rnacentral:tRNA from 3 species